rnacentral:lncRNA from 10 species
CUGAGCCCUGGCAGAUGGUUUUCUGGCCUCCUCAGGUUUCCAGCUCUCCCAGCUGCCUCCGGAGGCAAGUCUGGGGCAGGAGGAGUUUGGAGAAGCUGGCUGGGGGGAGACCUCUGCUCCUCGGCUGCAGCGGUGGACUCGCCUGCGCCGUGGCGGCCCUGUUCAUGGACACGUUCACAGGCAUGUUCAACAUCCCUAGAGUGGCGAGAAGAGUUAUUCCACAUUUCCAGUGAGGAGGCCCAGGCUCAGAGAAGGGCCCUGCCCAUGGUCUCACUACAUUGCCCAAGCUGGUCUCGAACUCCCAGGCUCAAGUGAUCCUCCUGCCUUGGCCUCCCAAAGUGCUGGGAUUACAGAUGUGAGCCACCGCACCCAACCAGUUCCAAAUUUCUGAGGAAAAUCGGAGUCUCUCCUCCAUCCCUCUCCCACUCUCCUAGACUGGUGGAGAGAAGUGACCAGUGAACCCAGCUGGGCACUGGAUGGAAUGUGAAAACUCUUGAGACAUAGGACAGGAGUUACAGCCGAUCUCUGCCCUUUUCCCAGAAAGAAGGCGAAGGUGAAGUCCAAGGUUUCUACACCACAGCAGGCCAGGCCAGGAAGCAGGUGAGAGCAGUGGCGCCUCUGGAACGGCAUCCAAAUGUCUUUAGAAGGUCUGAGAAGCCCCUGCCAGCUGCCCCGGUGUCACCCACACUAUUCCAGGCUGCAGCUCACUGGCCCCAUCGCUCGGUUCUCCCUCACACAGGCCCUCUGCCUGGCACAGGACCGUGCCCAGCUGUGCCCUCUGUCCAGAACACUCCCCUGGGGCUUGUCAAGGCUCACCACUCCUUGUCAUUCAGGUCCCAGCUCUUGCACCAUUAAAGCGUCCAUCAGAUUCAUCAGGAGGGCUUGGGACAUCCAGAUGGCUGGGCAGCAGAACAGCUCCUCAGCAGGCAGGUCCAGGUAGGGCCUGGGAAUCUGCAUUUCUAACAAGUUCUCAGGAUUGCUUUGGGUUUUGUUAGUUUGCCAUUUCCACUGCAGCAGAUGAAACUCCACAAGGGCUGACCCCGAGUUGUUUUCAUUCUGAGUAUCCACAGCCUGGCACACAGUAGGCGCUCAAUAAAUACUGAUUGGAUAAAUGAACAAUUCGACACACCCUCCCAUCGAUUAGACAGGAGCUUUCCCCAUGCUGGGACCUCAAGGGCUCCCUCACGCGUAGGACACCUCGGCAUGAUGUGUGGAGCUGCUGCGCGCUGGAAAUUCCAGAGCUGAACAAAUGCUGCCCCCUGUCCUUGGGCACACACCCCUCUAAUGAGCCAAAGGAGGCUAUUCUAAGGCAGCCGAAUGCUGCAUGUUCUCCAGUGUGUAACUGUGCUGCUGACACUUCCUUAGACAACCUGGGAAAUGUAGGCAAAAUUAUUAUUAUCGUUGUUGUUGUUAUCAAUAUUUAUUAUACGCAUUGUGUAGGAUGAGCCAUUUCACGCCUGGUUUUUAAUCAGUUUCUGUUCCCUGAAGACAGUCUGGUGAGUAACUCGUUAGAAAACUGUAGUGAGCUGGAGUCCUCCAACACACCUGUUGGAAGACCCAGUUCAGGACAGCUUCCAGGCCCUGAGCUGGGCAGUGGGGAGCCCUGGGGCCCUGGAGACAGAGGGCAUCCACAGCUGUUUUGAAAGCUCACAUCCAAACUUUAGAAUGUGGAAAGAUUGAACUCUUUUUUAUUUUUGUAUAUAUAUAUAUAUAUAUAUUUUUUGUAGAGAUGGGGUCUCACCAUGUUGCCCAGGCUGAUCUCAAACUCCUGGACUCAAGCAAUCCUCUUGCCUCAGCCUCCCAUGGUGGAGAGGACUGAACUCUUAAGAUAAUUCCCAUAACAAAGAGAAGACUCCGGAGUCCCCUCUCACAGCAAGGAGUUUUUCUGGAAACUUGAAGUUCUGCAGCAAUGUACUUUGGUGUGGGUGUUUUCAACCACUGUGCCGUCCCUAAGCUGUCUGCUGAUUUGAGGCUCAUCAGAUCAUGAUCAAGUUCCAAAAUGCAGACUGGAAGCUCCCAGAUCUUGAUGAGUCAUCACCUGGCGAACCUCCCAGUGUUGGUGUACCUGCAGCUGCAAGUUCCUGAGGCUUUGAGGGCUCUGAGAUGUGAAUAGACUUGGAUCUCUUCUAGAGAAUCAAAUAGCCUAAGGUCCUGUCCAACGGAGCCCUCUCUGUCAGGGCUGUGAGGACGUCCCAGGAAUGAUGCCAUAAUGUCGCUGAUGUCAUAUCGACAUAAUAUUGACAGCGAACAUCAGAGCUGCCUGCAGCCAAUUUGCCACUGUCUAGGGAGAAUCCCUGAAGAUGGUGCCAACACAAGGGGAGAGCACCAAGGGAGGCAGAGAGAACCUUCCUUCAUUUACUCCUCCUGCCUCUAUGUGCUAAGCCCCACUCUGUGCCAGGCCCAUUCCUGGCCCUGGGGAAACAGCCACGAACAAGACAGAGUCCCUAUUCUCACGGUGCUGACAUCCUAGUGAGAGGUGACAGCGUGCUGGCAGUCGUCGCAGCCCUCGCUCGCUCUUGGUGCCUCCUUGGCCUCGGCACUUUUGUGUCUAGCUUGGGGAUCGUAAAGGCACCAAUCAGCACCCUGUCAAAACGGACCAAUCCACUCUCUGUAAAACAGAACAGUCAGCUCUCUGUAAAAUGGACCAAUCAGCAGGAUGUGGGUGGGGCCAGAUAAGGGAAUAAAAGCAGGCUGCCCGAGCCAGCAGUGGCAACCCGCUCGGGGCCCCUUCCACACUGUGGAAGCUUUGUUUUUUCGCUCCUUGCAAUAAAUUUUGCUGCUGCUCACCGUUUGGGUCCACACUGCGUUUAUGAGCUGUAACACUCACUGGGAAGGUCUGCAGCUUUACUCCUGAGGCCAGCGAGACCACGAACCCACUGGGAGGAAGAAACUGAACACUUCCGAACAUCAGAAGGAACAAACUGCGGACACGCGGCCUUUAAGAACUGUUAACACUCACCGCGAGGGUCCGCGGCUUCAUUCUUGAAAUCAGUGAGACCAAGAACCCACCAAUUCCAGACACACUAGCAGGGAGAAGCAGGCCCUAAGCCCAGUAAGCACACAGUGCAGUGAAUAGCCUUACACCUAUGUCAUCGAGUUAGUACAAAGUGGAGCAUGCACGCGAUAAAUCUAUCAAGGGAGAAAACGAGAUACGGAACAGUCCAUAGGACACACUCGGUUUUGUACAAGAAAGAGAGAAAAUAAGAAUAUGUUUUCAUAUUUGUUAUACUUCAACAAAGAUACUCUGGAUGGACAGAUGGAAAGCUGAAGCAGCAACUGACAAGGUCAUGUGUCUCAGAUGCCACUUAAAAAUGGUGGUGCCUCCAUCAGCCUGGUUCCCUAAGUGACUGUGUGGAGCAGAGUGCCCUGGCUACCUGCACUGAAUAUGUGGUGCUCAUAAGAAAUAAAGACCUGCGUGGUAAGCUCCUGUGACUUGGAGGUGCUUGUUACUGCAGCAUAGCUCAGCCUGUCCUGACCUACACAGAAAUAGAGCUCUGGAAGCCAGAAGUCCAAAAUCAUUGUCACUGGGCUAAAGUCAAGGUGUUGGCAGGUUGGCUCCUGCUGGAGGUUGGAGGGAGGAUCCAUUUCCCGGACUUCUGUAGCUUCCGGAGCUGCCUGCAUUCUUCGGCAGAAUUCCACUUCCUUACAUCACUCCAACCUCUUGCUUCUGUUGUCACAGCUCCCACUUCUGGUGUCAAAUCUCCCCCUGCCUCCCGAUUAUAAGGACACUUGUGAUUACAUUUAGGGCCCACCCAGAUAACCCAGGAUAACCCUCCCUUCUCAAUCGCAUAUGCGAAGUCCCCUUUGCCAGGAAUUGGGACUUGCGUGUCUUUGGGGGCCGCUCUUCGCCUAACACCCUGGCUACGGUGGUCCGCUCUGGGCCCGAGGUGCCUUUGCUGGCAGCCAGGACAAGCAGGGUCCCAGAGGAAAAUGCCAAGUGGGGGCCCAUGGAGUAGCAGGACUUGGGGACAAGCCCGAUUCUGUCCCCUGAUCUGGCUCUCACCGUCUGGAAACAUACAGGCGCCUUGCUCUGGUCCUUCCUCGUCCUCUGCAAGGCAGGCUCCUUCCUGCACCCCUCCACUUCCUCAGGUGACGGUAUCCACCCCAGGACCAUUCAUGGAACUAACAAAGCACUGGACAUACAGACAAAAACUGCUUCUUUCCUGAAGCUCCCAUCCUAGUGAGGGAGAGUGAAGAAGCCGGGUACGUGAUGUGGGAGGCAGUGAAGCGCGCUAAGGAGAGCAAGCGGGGACGGGGAGAGGAGGGCAGGGCAGGCCCGGGCUGUGAAGAUUCAGCCCACACACAUUUAUCAAGCACCUACCAGGUUCCGGGGCCUGGGACACAGCUGAGAAUGAGACAGACCCAGCCCCUAUCCCAGAGGAUCACCUGUUUUAGCGGGGGGAUGAAGCCGAUGAGGAAAUGAAUGGGGCACGUGCAGAAGGCAGUGAGGCUGGGAGGAACCACAGCGGUGCCCUGGGCUCAGGAGUGAUGGAGCUGCUUCAGAUGGGGCGGUCAAGGAGGACCUCUCGGAGGAGGUGAUUGGGGACUGAGGGAGACGGCUCCAAGUGGAGGGGACAGCAACUGCAACGUGGGGGUGAUGCAGCUCAAUAGCCAUGCGUGUCUGGGUGGCAGGAGCUCAGAAAAGCGUGUUGGCGGCAGUAAGGAUGGAGGGGGAUUGUCCUGGGAUGGGGCUUCCCGUCCCACCUGCUGUGCCUGGGCUUUUAAGCCAGCAGUGAAGACACCUGAGACAGACCCAAGAGAAAGGCCUGCCCACACCUGGUGGCCACUCCAGACAGAAUGAGGACAGGGCCCAGCACAGGUGGAAUGGCCCAGGCCGGAGGAGCCCCUCUCAAGGAGGAGCCUGCCUUGUCCCCCACUCCUGCGCGGAGCCCUGUUCCCUCACGCGGGCUGGCUUCUUUAACGAGACCAUCUGUCUGGCUUUCCUCACUCGGCUGAGCCUGCUGGUGCCAUCCAUCUCCCCCAGCCCCAUCUCCCGUCCGUCUGUCACCGCUCGGCCCCCACCAUCCCUGCCCAGCUCUGAGGGGGCCUCAGCAGGUCUGGCCUUCGUGUUUACUCUUCUCAUCUGGCCACAUCUGGCCCCCGUGCUGAGUCACCCUCUCCAUCUGCCUGUCCUCCCUGUUGGACGGUGGCCGUCUCCUUCCUGGCUCUUUCGGAGCCACGUGGCAGCCCACGCGUGGAGCGGGUGCCAGAGCCGGCACACGCGUGGGGAUGUGACUGUGAGCGGCUUGGUGCCAGCCUGCAUCCCAGGAGGGGCCCCUCAAGGACAGCCCCACUGGAGGCCUCCCCCGCGGCCUUGGAGGGUCCGGUGGUCCACUGGACGAGUCUCAAAGAAACCAAAGAGACUCAGAGAGACAAAGGCCACAGCCAGGCUGAGGCAGAAACGGAGAUGCCUGGUAUCAAGGCUGGGUAUGAACCCAGCUCUGCUGGAUGCCAGAGCCUUUCAAUUCUGCAUCUGAGCGUGGAAGUAGGAAGAGUGUGGGCAUUUCAGAAGGGUGUGGGGGCGGGAGGCAGCCUGGGAGCAAACAAGAGUCACAAGCCCGGGGUCCGAGGCCCUGCAGGGCUGGACCCAGAGCUCUGAAUCUGGGUAGGUUACUUAGCCUUUCCCAGCCUGACUUCCUGCACAUAUUUUGAAAAUUAAACCAGUUGCACUGAGGUAGUACAAUACCAUCACCUACCCCUCAGGCCAGCCUGGAAUAGCACCCCUUCCUCUGACAACAGCAUCCCAAAUUUUCCUUAAGCCCCUUCUCAAUCCCUGAGAUUUGGGAAGGGCUGACAGGAGAAGACAUGUGACCAAAGAUGAGACAAUCCAAGCACUGCAAACUCAGCCCCACCCCCACUUCAGUGCUUGGCUUGGGGUCAGGUGGGUGCCAAGCUGGGCUAGUCAGGGCCAGAACCUUUGCUGAACUUAGCUCCCCUCCCCUCCCCUCCCCUCCCCUCCCCUCCAUUGCCCGCCACCCCACUCCCUUUUCCUUUCUUUCUUUCUUUCUUUCUUUCUUUUUUUUUUUUUUUUGAGACGGAGUCCAGCUCUGUCGCCCAGGCUGGAGUGCAGUGGCGUGUUCCCAACUCACUGCAACCUCCACCUCCCAGGUUCAAAUAAUUCCCCUGCCUCAGCCUCCCAAGUAGCUGGGAUUACAGGCGCCCGCCUCCACGCCCAGCUAAUUUUGGUAUUUUUAGUGGGGAUGGGCCACUGUGAUGGCCAAGCUGGUCUCAAACUCCCGACCUCGUGAUCCUCCCACCUCGGCCUCCCAAAGUGGUGGGAUUACGAGCGUGAGCCGCCACACCCAGCCCCUUUUUUAAAUUUUUUUUGAGACAGGGUCUCACUCUGUUGCACAGGCUGGAGUGCAGUGGUGCAACCACAGUUCCCUGCAGCCUCAAACUCCUGGGCUCAAGUGAUCCUCCUGCCUCAGCCUCCCAAAGUGCGGGGAUUACAGGCAUACUCUGCCACGCCCAGCGUGCUGGAACUUUUCUAAGGAAGGGGUGCUCCUUGCUCACUGUGAGAGUGAGCAGGCUAUGAGCUAGAGCUACUGGUGGCUGCCAUGUGGUGAGAGCCCGCCUGUGAGGAAAACCAGCAGAGAGGAGAGCAGAGCCAAAGCACGGAGAAUAAGAGCAGUCCUAACAAGCCCCUGGAUCCAGCUGGGCCUGAAGCCAGCUCCACUUCUGGACUUUUCAGUAAUCGAUGCCAAUACAUUGCCUUUUAUAACAGAGCCUGAGUUGGGUUCUGUCAUUUGCAAUCAAGGAGUUGUAUGUGCUGUAUUCCUGAAAGGGACAAAUAUGUGCCUGAUACACAGUAGGCUCUCAAUACAUGCUGAAGAUAAGGAUAAGACCUUUGUGAGAACAGCCAGUCUCAAAACAUAUUCUAUGAUUUCCUGGGCAUAACACUCCACACACGGCAGAAUUAUAGAGAUGGCAAGCAGGCUGGUGGCUGCUGGGAGCUAGGGCUGGUGGAGGGUGGAGGUGGGUGUGACAUCUUCACGGGGAUGGAACAGGUCUAGAUCUUGAGUGCUGUGGUGGCUUCAUGAUCUCCACAUGUGACAAAAUGACGUAGAGCCGUAUGCAUACCCUGUGCCAAUGUGGGUUUCCUGGUCUGGUAUUGUACUAGAGUUAUGUAAGAUAGAACCACUGGGAGAAACCCAGUGCAGGGUACACGGCACCUCUCUGUACUAUUUUUGCAAGUUCCUGUGAAUCUGUAAUAAUUUCAAAACAAAAAGUUACAAAGAAGAAGUUCUUUGUAGGCGUACCACCCAGCAGCUCUUGGACCCCAAAAGGCAAAUCAUGGGCAUUGAAAUCAGAUGGACCAGAGCUCAAAUCUCAGCAUGGCUGUUCACCUGCUAAGUGGCCUUGGGUCAGUCACGUCUCUUCUCCUACCCUCAGCGUUCUCAUCCGUGGAGUGGGGCUCACUGGGGCUUAUGGGCCCGCCCCAUGGGGUGGUGAUGACAGAGGAUACAGUCAAGACCGUGCUCUGUCUCGCUCAGGACCUGGCUGUGGGAGGCGAUAAGCUUCAGCAGCAGGCCAUCAAUACAGGGCUUGGCAGGGGGCCUUGCGCGGACCUGGCAAGGUCUUGGGUUCUGAGCCAGCUUCCCUGGGCUUGAGUCCUGGCUCUGCUGCUCCCUGCCUGGGUGACCUAGGGUAGACUACUUGACCUCUCCGGCCCUCAGUGUUUCCAUCUGUACAAUGGAGAUAAUCAUAGUGCUGAUCAUGUAUGUGACUUUUGAGGAUUAUUUUUUGUAGAGACAGGUUCUCCCUAGGUUGCCCUAUGUGGCUGAUCUUGAACUCCUGGCCUCAGGCGAGCCUCCCACCUCGGCCUCCCCAAGCUCUGGGAUUCCGGGUGUGAGCCACGUAGCCUGGUCUGCUUUUGAGGAUUAAAUGAGAUAGUGCACCUGAGGCCCCUAGGGCAGAACCUGACACUUGGCAGGGACAGUAGCCCUUUGGGGUGUGGAGAAUGGCCCCAUGGGUGGGGGUGGGAGGACCCUGGCCAUGCAGUGAGGUCUGUUGCAGCAUUGCCAGGAAAGCUCUCACUUCCUGGGGAUCAGCACCCCCAGGAGCUUCCCCUUCAAGGUCCCGCAGCCAGUGAUGAAUUCCACUCCGGCCAAGCAGAAAAUCUGAUCCCAGGCACCUAAGGAGGCAGAGGGACCCCUGUCCAGAGAACCCAGGCUCCCGCCUUCCUUCUCCUGUCCUCCCUGAGGAGGGAGAGCACAAACCUGAAGUGGAAUAUGCACGGAUUGGACUUCGAGGUACAGCCUCUGAGAAGAAAGGAAAGGACUUAGUGUUUGUGGUCAGUGAAAGAAAUUCUGGGGACAGUGGGGGCUCAGUGGUUGCUUGAGGGAGGCUGGAGAUGUUCCUCUGUCUCCAAACGUGUAUUUCAUGAUCUGUCAUGGUUUUAGGAUCCCUAGAAUUCCAUUAUUGCUGAGCUCAUCCCUAGGUUAAACACUGCCCACUCCUGCAUUCUGUUCUUUUCAAACUAGAGGAGUAACAUAUUAAGCCAUGAAUGUGUGAACUAAUUUAUGACAGGGUCUGGGGUGAGGCAUGCUCAAAGCAGACCGAGGAAGGGCAGGAGAGGCCCAGGAAGGGGUAGGGGGAGGGUUGGGAGGUAGGGAAUGAUGCCUAAGGCAAACUUUGCCUGCUCUGGCUGGCUCUUGGUGAUAAUCUAUUUAAAGGCCUCCCCUGGCUGUUCUCGUUGAUGUAGAUCCAUUUGAGCAGUUUCAGGGCUGCAGUCUUUAUUUAAUGCAGCUCCGAGCCUGAUGCACAGGGCCCAGAGCUGAGCGGAGGCUGGCUCCUGGCAAUGCUUAAUAGCAAGGUGAGAACACGGAGCUCCUGAGUAGGGGAGGGGCGAUGUCAGGCAGCAAGGGCUAGGCCGGCUGUGCUCCACAACCUGCUCCUUGCUGCUGCUGGGAGGAUGGAGCAGGCUGGAGGUGGAAAUUCCCAUCCCGGAGUCAGCACUUAGGAGAAGGGAAUCUCAAUGUCAAAUGAGCUGGUGAUUUGGUGGGAUGGGAGAGGCUUUGUUGAAUAGUGGCUGAGGAUAAGCCAGCAUGGCUUCGGCAAACAAGAAAUAUGUUAGCUCAUGGAGCCGUCCAGCUUCAGGUACGGCUGAAUCCAGGACUCCCUGUGAGAACAUCUAACAGUUCCUGAGACCACAUGCUUCCUGUGGAACACACUGGGGGAGCAUGUCUGGGGCCAGGCAUUCCCUGCAAAAGUCCCAAGGUCCUUUCUGAUUGGUCUGGCUUGGGUCACAUGCCCCUUCCCUAAACCAAACACUGUGGCCAGGAGGAUGGGAUACGCUGAUUGUCUUGGCCCACUCCAAAGGACCAAGUGAAGUGGGGAGGGGGGUCAGUUCCAUCCAAGCCUCACAGAGGACAGGAGGCCCCGGAGCAGGACCGGCCUAGGAAGCAAGCAGAUGCUGGCUCACGGCAACGCCGAGCCUGUGUCCACACACCUCGUCCAAUGUACCCCUCUCAGCUGCCUCUGCAGAUACUUCUUCAGAUGAGAGCACUGAGGUAGAGGGACUUGCCCAGCACCCAGAGGGGGAGUCCAGCUAAAACAGAAUCCAGAUAAAAGACUCUAUUUUAUUCUAAGUUCUUUCCAGCGCCUCCUGGUCCAGCUGGCGCCGAUCCCCUGUCCCACGUUCCCUGCCCCUGAUAUUCCAGAGUACUUGGACUCCUAGGUUUGGGACCUGAAAAGGAUCUUAGAGUUUGUUGUCUCCAGUCUCUUCGAGUAAUGCACCCAGGGCCACACAGCCCACGAAUAGCAGAACGGGGACUAGAAUCCACAUCUAAUAGGACAGCUUGUCACUUACCUUGUGUCUGCCUCACUGCUUGGGAGUCUGGUCUUAACGGUGUGGCCCUGGUCUCCAUCUGCUUGCCAGCCUUAGUUUCCCACCUCCCCAUGGUGAGGGUGUGAGGGUAUCCCCGAGGGCCCCCUAGAGCUCCCCAGGCUCAGCCCCUGAAUGAUGGUCUGCGCUUUCCUGGGUCUCCACGCCGCCGCGGUUUGCAUGUCUUACUCCUCCUUGACAUCAUUUUCUUUCUAGAUAAUUGCUUUGUUCUAAUUCUUUAGAGGCAAUUUUCUUCUGUUACUUUAUUUCUACAGUUAACACCCUCCAAUUAAUUUCAUAGCUCUUGAAAGUUCUCACAUAAGUUGCCCUCACAAACCCUUCCAGUUUAACCGUCGCGUGCAACAGCAGCAUCUCCGACAACACAGUCAUCUAUUCACGCCUACUGCAUCCGAGCACACCAGCUGCAUUUGAUCUUCAUAAUAACCUUAGGAGAGUAGCCUCCUUUUACAGAGAGGGAAAAUUCAGACUCAAAGAGGUAAAGCAGUCUGCUCCAGGACUGUAGUACAGGCGGAGCUGGGAUUUGAACCUCCACCUCCAGCUGCUGGCCUGAAUCAACAGCAGCUCCAGAUCAGGGGGAGGGCAUGGUGGCUGUCAGCUUCCAGGUGCACAUCUGUCCUACUGGGGUGGCCCCAGAGUGAACUUGGUGGCCCUGCUGGCUCUACCCCUGGCGAUUCCCUGCAACCUGCCCCUGGAUCCUAUACAGAGAAGCUUCCCUGGCAGGCAGGAGGAAAUGAAAUCCAGGCGAAACACAGGGUCUCAGCCUCCGUGCAUGGAUAGGGAAAAGUCAGUAGUGGUUACAGCAUCUCUAGAGGAGAGGAGGAAAAAAAAACCUAACACCAACUACAUUUGCAGAGAAAUAAUAAAUGAUUUCAAAUUCUAUUUUCCUAUCUCUCUCAGUACAUCUCCCAGUGCUAUUUUAUCUAGUAAAUAGGAGGCCUAGUUGUUAUUCUCAAUUAUGAUAUUAAUUCUCCCGGUGACCCUGGGCAACUUACCUCCCUUCUCUGAGCUGGUUUCUCUAUCUAUCACCACCCGCUCAAGGACAAAAAGAUGUUCUCACAGGAAGGAAGCUCCCUGUGUCUGGAACAGGCCUGGG